rnacentral:rRNA from 1 species
UCCUACGGGAGGCAGCAGUGAGGAAUAUUGGUCAAUGGACGAAAGUCUGAACCAGCCAAGUAGCGUGCAGGAAGACGGCCCUCUGGGCUGUAAACUGCUUUUAGUUGGGAAUAAAAAGAGGGACGUGUCCCUUAUUGUAUGUACCAUCAGAAAAAGGACCGGCUAAUUCCGUGC